AACGUAGGACACAAGCGUUAUCCGGAGUUACUGGGCGUAAAGGGCGUGUAGGCGGACCUAUAAGUCUAUUCUGAAAGCUCCUGGCUAAACUGGGAGAGGCGAAUGGAGACUGUAGAUCUAGAGUGAGGAAGAGGAAAGUGGAAUUCCGCGUGUAGUGGUGAAAUGCGUAGAGAUGCGGAGGAACACCAGUGGCGAAAGCGACUUCUGGGCCUUACCUGACGCUGAGAAGCGAAAGCAUGGGGAGCGAACAGG
rnacentral:rRNA from 1 species